rnacentral:tRNA from 1 species
GAGGGUAUAGCUCAGUGGUAGUGUGCAUGCUUAGCAUGCACAAGGUCAUGGGUUUGAUCCCCAGUACCUCCA